rfam:Cronobacter phage vB_CsaM_GAP32, complete genome.
GCUGCCUUCCCAUAAUUGGUAUUGGACCGCACUUGUAAUGCGGCGGGGAAACCCAUUCUCGGUUCGAGUCCGAGGGGUAGCA